rnacentral:rRNA from 1 species
UACGGAGGAUGCGAGCGUUAUCCGGAUUUAUUGGGUUUAAAGGGUGCGCAGGCGGCCUGUUAAGUCAGCGGUAAAAGCCCGGGGCUCAACCCCGGCCUGCCGUUGAAACUGGCGGCCUCGAGUGGGCGAGAAGUAUGCGGAAUGCGUGGUGUAGCGGUGAAAUGCAUAGAUAUCGCGCAGAACCCCGAUUGCGAAGGCAGCGUGCCGUGCCGCCACUGACGCUGAGGCUCGAAAGUGCGGGUAUCAAACAGG